ACGGGUGAGUAACACGUGGGUGAUCUGCCCUGCACUUCGGGAUAAGCCUGGGAAACUGGGUCUAAUACCGGAUAUGAUCAUCAGCUUCAUGGUUGGUGGUGGAAAGCUUUUGCGGUGUGGGAUGGGCCCGCGGCCUAUCAGCUUGUUGGUGGGGUAAUGGCCUACCAAGGCGUCGACGGGUAGCCGGCCUGAGAGGGUGUCCGGCCACACUGGGACUGAGAUACGGCCCAGACUCCUACGGGAGGCAGCAGUGGGGAAUAUUGCACAAUGGGCGCAAGCCUGAUGCAGCGACGCCGCGUGGGGGAUGACGGCCUUCGGGUUGUAAACCUCUUUCAGCACAGACGAAGCGCAAGUGACGGUAUGUGCAGAAGAAGCACCGGCCAACUACGUGCCAGCAGCCGCGGUAAUACGUAGGGUGCGAGCGUUGUCCGGAAUUACUGGGCGUAAAGAGCUUGUAGGUGGUUUGUCGCGUUGUUCGUGAAAUCUCACGGCUUAACUGUGAGCGUGCGGGCGAUACGGGCAGACUAGAGUACUGCAGGGGAGACUGGAAUUCCUGGUGUAGCGGUGGAAUGCGCAGAUAUCAGGAGGAACACCGGUGGCGAAGGCGGGUCUCUGGGCAGUAACUGACGCUGAGAAGCGAAAGCGUGGGGAGCGAACAGGAUUAGAUACCCUGGUAGU
rnacentral:rRNA from 1 species